rnacentral:tRNA from 1 species
AGGAUAAUAGUUAUUAUAACAAUUAAUUUGCAUUUAAAAAAUAUUGAUAUUCAUCAAUUUAUCUUU